rnacentral:tRNA from 1 species
UCCCUGUUGCUCAGAUGGUAAAGAAUCUGCCUGCAGUGCAGGAGACCCGGGUUUGAUCCCUGGGCUGGGAA